GGAGGAAAAGAACUAACAAGGAUUCCCCUAGUAACUGCGAGUGAAGCGGGAAAAGCUCAAAUUUAAAAUCUGGCGGUCUCUGGCCGUCCGAGUUGUAAUCUAGAGAAGUGUUGCCCGCGCUGGACCGUGUACAAGUCUCCUGGAAUGGAGCGUCAUAGAGGGUGAGAAUCCCGUCUCUGACACGGAGUACCAGGGCUUUGUGGUACGCUCUCAAAGAGUCGAGUUGUUUGGGAAUGCAGCUCAAAAUGGGUGGUAAAUUCCAUCUAAAGCUAAAUAUUGGCGAGAGACCGAUAGCGAACAAGUACCGUGAGGGAAAGAUGAAAAGAACUUUGGAAAGAGAGUUAAACAGUACGUGAAAUUGCUGAAAGGGAAACGCUUGAAGUCAGUCGCGUUGGCCGGGGAUCAGCCUCGCUCUUGCGUGGUGUACUUUCCGGUUGAUGGGUCAGUAUCAAUUUUGACCGCUGGAAAAAGGCUUGAGGAAUGUGGCAGCUUCGGCUGUGUUAUAGCUUCUUGUCACAUACAGCGGUUGGGAUUGAGGAACUCAGCACGCCGCAAGGCCGGGUUUCGACCACGUUCGUGCUUAGGAUGCUGGCAUAAUGGCUUUA
rnacentral:rRNA from 2 species